rnacentral:rRNA from 1 species
CCGGCGCACGGGUGAGUAACACGUAUGCAAUCCACCUGUAACAGGGGGAUAACCCGGAGAAAUCCGGACUAAUACCCCAUAAUAUGGGCGCUCCGCAUGGAGAGUUCAUUAAAGAGAGCAAUUUUGGUUACAGACGAGCAUGCGCUCCAUUAGCCAGUUGGCGGGGUAACGGCCCACCAAGGCGACGAUGGAUAGGGGUUCUGAGAGGAAGGUCCCCCACAUUGGAACUGAGACACGGUCCAA